AAUCAACGCUGGCGGCGUGCCUAACACAUGCAAGUCGAACGAGAAAGUGGAGCAAUCCAUGAGUACAGUGGCGCACGGGUGAGUAACACGUGACUAACCUACCCUUGAGUGGGGGAUAACUGAGGGAAACCUUAGCUAAUACCGCAUAAUACCUACGGGUCAAAGGAGCAAUUCGCUUAAGGAGGGGGUCGCGGCCGAUUAGUUAGUUGGCGGGGUAAUGGCCCACCAAGACGAUGAUCGGUAUCCGGCCUGAGAGGGCGCACGGACACACUGGAACUGAAACACGGUCCAGACUCCUACGGGAGGCAGCAGUGGGGAAUUUUGCGCAAUGGGGGAAACCCUGACGCAGCAACGCCGCGUGGAGGAUGAAGUCCUUCGGGACGUAAACUCCUUUCGAUCGGGACGAUAA
rnacentral:rRNA from 1 species